AUGUCCGAUGUAGUGAAGUUGAGAUUUUACUAUGGUCCUGGUAUUGUCCAAACAAAUGAGUUGGGAGCAGAUCUGAGUGAAUUUACUCACAUAGAGGUUGCAAUCAGCGCACCACAAACAUGGUCUGUUAGUCAGUUGAAAGAAUGGAUUGCGGCAAGUUUAGGUCUUAAUACUGAAACACACACCGUUGGUGUUCAUGCAUUGUGGACACGGUCAAGUUCAAAAAUUUACUUUUAUUUGAGGCCAAUAGAGGGAGACUCCGAUUGGGUGCGGUGGUUACAAGGUUGUGAACGAAGGGGAUGCAAUCCUGUUGCUUUAGUGCUUCCCGUCGUGAAGGAGGUCACUGCAUAUGAAGGGGAGGGUGGCUACGAAGGACAGAGCAGUCAUGUUGAAGGAGGAAAUGCUUAUGGUUACGACCAAGGACAGAGCAGUCAGGUAGAAGGAGGAAAUGCUUAUGGUUAUGAACCAGGGCAGAGUAGUCAGGUAGAAGGAGCAAAUGCCGAUGGUGAUUACAAUGGCGAGGUGGAUGCUGACGAGGUAGAUGGGCACAUGCAGAACCAGAUGGAAGAAGAAGACACCGAUGUUGAAAGGGGUCAUGCCGAUGAUUCUGACGAGUCAGAUGAAGAAGAAAAUGCAGAGGAGGUCCCGAAUCCUGCAUGGUGGAAUCAUGACUUAUCAUCUGCAAUGACCGUGAAUGAUGGACAUGAUUCAGCCUGGCAAUAUCACCAGAACAAUAUUGCGACGGGUGCUAUGUAUCCGAACAAGCAAGCCCUGAAGGAUGCAAUAAUUAAUUGGGCAAUGUCCACGCAAAGGGUUUUCAAAGCUGAGGUGUCCAGUCAGAAAUUCCUCACAAUGGUAUGCAAGAAUGCAGAUUGUCCCGCAAGGGUGCACGGCUUUCUCCCUAAGUAUGGCACAAGUUGGGUGAUAAGUGACUUAAUUAAUCACACUUGUCUUAUUCCCUGCAUCCCUCAAGAUCAUGCCAACCUUUCAUCCACGCUUAUUGCUCGACUGUUUUACGAUGAGAUAGUGCAAGGCAAAGCUAUGGAAUGUCGGGAUUGUGGUUGCUGA
rnacentral:rRNA from 1 species